rnacentral:ribozyme from 13 species
AAAGAGAGAAAGAGAGAGAAAGAGAGAGAAAGUGGGUCUCUUCUUUUUGCUCUCAUCUUUCUCUCUGUCUCUCUCUUCUUCCCUCAAAAAGUACACUCCUCUAUCGAUUUUUAGAUACUGGAGAAGAAGGAAAGAAAAAUGGAGAAAAGGAAGAAGAGAGAGAGAAGAG